rnacentral:rRNA from 1 species
AGCAGUCGCCGCGGGAAUACGAAGGGUGCAAGCGUUACUCGGAAUUACUGGGCGUAAAGCGUGCGUAGGUGGUGGUUUAAGUCCGUUGUGAAAGCCCUGGGCUCAACCUGGGAAUUGCAGUGGAUACUGGGUCACUAGAGUGUGGUAGAGGAUAGUGGAAUUUCCGGUGUAGCAGUGAAAUGCGUAGAGAUCGGAAGGAACAUCUGUGGCGAAGGCGACUAUCUGGGCCAACACUGACACUGAGGUACGAAAGCAUGGGGAGCAAACAGGAUUAGAUACCCCUGUAGUCCCUGUCUCUUAUAC